rnacentral:rRNA from 1 species
GCAUAAGCGCACAGCUUCGCAUGAAGCAGUGUGAAAAACUCCGGUGGUAUACGAUGGAUCCGCGUCUGAUUAGCUGGUUGGCGGGGUAAAGGCCCACCAAGGCGACGAUCAGUAGCCGGCCUGAGAGGGUGAACGGCCACAUUGGGACUGAGACACGGCCCAAACUCCUACGGGAGGCAGCAGUGGGGAAUAUUGCACAAUGGGGGAAACCCUGAUGCAGCGACGCCGCGUGAGUGAAGAAGUAUUUCGGUACGUAAAGCUCUAUCAGCAGGGAAGAAAAUGACGGUACCUGACUAAGAAGCCCCGGCUAACUACGUGCCAGCAGCCGCGGUAAUACGUAGGGGGCAAGCGUUAUCCGGAUUUACUGGGUGUAAAGGGAGCGUAGACGGCAGCGCAAGUCUGGAGUGAAAUCCCAUGGCUUAACCAUGGAACUGCUUUGGAAACUGUGCAGCUGGAGUGCAGGAGAGGUAAGCGGAAUUCCUAGUGUAGCGGUGAAAUGCGUAGAUAUUAGGAGGAACACCAGUGGCGAAGGCGGCUUACUGGACUGUAACUGACGUUGAGGCUCGAAAGCGUGGGGAGCAAACAGGAUUAGAUACCCUGGUAG